rnacentral:rRNA from 1 species
AUACGGAGGGUGCGAGCGUUGUUCGGAAUUAUUGGGCGUAAGGCGCGUGUAGGCGGUCUUUUAAGUCUGAUGUGAAAGCCCUGGGCUCAACCUGGGAAGUGCAUUGGAUACUGGCAGACUUGAGUACGGGAGAGGGUAGUGGAAUUCCUAGUGUAGGAGUGAAAUCCGUAGAUAUUAGGAGGAACACCGGUGGCGAAGGCGGCUACCUGGACCGAUAUUGACGCUGAGACGCGAAAGCGUGGGGAGC